rnacentral:hammerhead_ribozyme from 1 species
GUACUGCUGAAGAGUCCUGAACUAGGACGAAACAGCUGUCUAGUAC